rnacentral:tRNA from 1 species
GCAUUCGUGGUGUAGUGGAAGCACGCUGGACGCGUAAACGAGAGAUCCGUGGUUCGAUUCCCGGUGAAGGCG